AUCUGGGCGGCGGAAUUCAAGACGGCUGGCGGGUCUCGCGCUCGUUCGGCCGUUUGAUAUUUCCGUCGCCGUGUCAGACGUCGCGACCUGUUUGUCGUCGGUCCUUGCUCGGAGGAAUUGCGAUCGAGUUCGUUGCGGGUGCGUUUCGGCGUGCUUCGCGGCGAAGACGCGACUCUCUGGCUGACGACGGACAGUAAGCAACGGUGUCUGGCGCCGUGUCUCGCACUCGGCGUCGGUGCCGGUCAGCGACGAUUUCUUCGGGCCUCUUUCCGACCCGUCUUGAAACACGGACCAAGGAGUCUAACAUGCGCGCGAGUCGCGGGGUUUCGAGCGUACCACGGUGCGCUCGUUACUUCCGAAACCCGUACGUUGAAGGCGUAAUGAAAGUGAAUAGGGAAGAUGGCGUUCCGAGACCACGUACCGUGAUCGAGUAUCGCGGCCGGACGUCCGCACUCCCGGGGCGUCUCAAUGGUUCGCCACGGAUGCGGACGAUCGUCUUUCGGGGCGGUCGUCGGUCUGUGGCGGUCCGA
rnacentral:rRNA from 1 species